CCCUUUCUCUCUGCGUGAUCCGCUUUAAUUCCCGCUACCUUCAGUGUUGAGCCCAUAUGUUAAAGAGGCAGCAUGGAAAAACAGAAGCAGCAGAAAGCAAUGUCUCAUUGUAGCUGCUACAAAAUGUGUAAAUGUUCGCUACUGUAGCCUCCGCGUCCUCAGCAGCAGCAGACAGAGAUGCAGGCUUGUGACGAUAAACCGAGGGACAGACUGAGCGGGAAAGUUUAGCACGUAAACAGGCCAUCACAUACGGCCUGGCUGCGCUGAAGAAUUUAUCCCUGCAACAGGUUGAGCAGGUCCAGUGUAUCAUCACAGUGAAGUAGAGGACUUCAACCAAAGGAUAGACAAACAACUAAAGAAAAAAGGAAGACCAUGCAGUUUGUAGAAGUCAUUGAGAUCCAAAUCUCUUGAUUUGUGUCCAUGUGUGAAUUUUAAUAGUUGAAUUUUGUUGGAUUCUGUCAGAAACCGGUAAAGAACUCCUUUAUGUGAUUUACAUUUCGUAAAAAUUAAAAAAGUUAUGCCUCAUUUUAAA